UGCACUUCCCAUGAUUUAUUUUGUCAACCAAACAAGGCUUUAGUAAUAGAACACUCUCACGCAUACGCUUGUGCCUAAGCUACACGGCUACACCUUUAGAAACUCUCAGCUUCCCUCACUCAAGCGCAAAUUCCGAGGCUCGAAUUGCAGAGGUUUUGCUAUUCUGAUUGCCCUCAAGAAAUACGUUCCUCUGCUUCUCUCUACACAAUCUUUGACCUACAUUUCCUUGUACCUCUAGAACAAACAGGUGCCUCCUCUGUCUCCUUCAUUAUUAUUCCCCUCUCAAAUCCAAUGGAUAUAUUUGAAACAUGUCUCGAUCCUCAACAACAAAUUUCGAGCAACAACAACUCUAUUGAUGAAGAUAUUUUCAGUUCUUCUAUAAACUUAGAAGAAUGCCACAUUAACGACGGUUACAAAGAUGGCUAUAAAGAUGGGCUUGCCUUGGGCAAGCAAGAGGGCUCCGAAGUGGGUUUAAAACACGGGUUUGAGUCUGGUGAAGAGCUUGGGUUUUACCGUGGUCUCAUUGAUGUUUGGACCUCAGUGGUUCGAAUUGAACCCAGUUUCUUCUCUGCACGGAUCCAAAAGAGUAUACAUCAAAUUGAUGAGUUGCUUGAGAAAUAUCCAUAUAUGGAUCACGAAGAUGAGAGCAAAGAUGACAUUUUCAAAGAGCUUAGGUCGAAGUUUAAGGCUAUUGGUGCUACUUUAGGAGUUAAAUUGGAAUACAAUGGAUACCCAAAAAUGUCUGAUGCUCGUGAUUAUUAAUUUUCAGGCUUGAGGAAUGCAUAGUAGGUCACUGAAGUUGCAUUAUGAUGCUAAGGUUUUCUUUAAAAAAAAUUCUUACGAAUAUAGCCUUGUGGUAUUGGCUAUCCUCUCGUAUUGCUGGGGUUGAGACUAUGUGAUCUUAAGGGUUCAGUAAGAUGGGAUCAGUGGAUAUUUUCUAUAAACAAUAGGAACUUUACAUCUGUAUUGAAUUGUAGAACAGUGCUUAGCUUGAAAGAAAAUAAAGUUUCUAUGAAUAACCCUUACUUAGAAGCACAUGGAGCAGUACAAUUUGCUUGGUUUGAUGCCUACAUAGAAAGGUUUAGAUUCUGUAAAUCAAUGGAUUUAUACAGAAGAACUAUGAUGUAUGGAAAUCGUCUCUGAUAAUUUUACAUUCUCCAUCGGUAUUUGAUUUGAGAACUUCGAACCUUUUCAAGUACUCAACUUCUUUGGUUUUUGAGGUAAAAAUCUUAUAGGUUUUGCUGGGAUGAGUUUUGAUGAGCGUUGCAACUAUAGUAACACAGAGGAUUCCCUAUAUAGAUGUCUUAUUUGAUUAAAUUGUUCUUACCAUAGAUUUGAUACUAAACCUCUAGUAGGUCAUUAAAAAUAUUAAUUUAGUAUCCUUUGGCUUUUGGAUUAUGAUGUACCAAGUUAGGGGUUCAUUAUACAGCAGAUCCCUUUAUUUUAACAUAAUUAUUGAUGUAAUAAUGUGUAUUUCACUAUAUCCAAGAUGGAGCCUGCAUGAUAUGACAUCUGCUGGUUGCUGAUAAAGCUAUUAGAUAUGCAGAGUUUGUGGUCGUUAUUAGCUUGUGUGAGAAUGAUCUAUACAUGGCAGUUGCAAAACUAAUUUUGGCAUUUAUCUUUCCUGUAGAUUGGGAAGAUUAGUGGAAAAAAUAUAGAAUGCUAAAAACGACGCUUGCUUGUUGCAAGUUAUACAUAUCAGAAAGCUGCAUCAAAGCUUCCCUUGAGUCUAUCGAACGAGCUGCCAAGCUUUUGCAUGAAGCUAAACUUAUCAAUAAGUUCGAAGAUGAAACUUAUAAUAGAGUUGGUUAUACUCUUGUCUCUAAGCUACCUCCCAAGUUGCCUUCAGGUUUUUACCCUCUAAAAGAUGCUCCAUUUGCAAUGGUUGAAUCUGCUUACAAAGCAAUUGACUUUAAUGUGCAUAGUGGAAGCCAUCCUCGUCUUGGAGUUGUUGAUCACACAGGCCUUCACCCAUUGGCCAAUGCUACUUUGGAGCAAACGGCCAAUAUGCAAGGUCCUUGGCCAAAGAUAUUGGCACCAAGCUUGAAGUUUCUAUCUUUCUAUAUGGAGCAGCACAUGAGAAAGGACGGACUCUUGAUUCAAUAAGAAGAGAGCUUGGCUACUUUCUGCCCAAUACUCUUUAAGGAAAUAUAUGGGCUGGGGGCCGAAUUCAGAGAAUUCACCAUAUGCCCCGAUGAAGGGCCAAGUCAAGUUGAUCCAUCUAAGGGCGUGAUAGUAAUAGGGAGUACAAGAUGCGUGGACAAGUACAACGUCUCAAUCUUCUCAACUAAUAUAUCAGUUGUUCGUAGAAUUGCGAAAGUCAUUGGUGAAAGAGGAGGUGGGCUUCCAUCAGUGCAAGCUAUGGCACUUGUUCAUGGUGACGGGACCAUUGAGGUCGCUUGCAAUUUGCUGGAUCCGAGCAAGGUUGGAGGACAUAAGGUUCAGGUUGAAGUUGAGCGCCUUGCACGGGAAGAAGGUAUGGUUUCUGGAAAGGGUUACUUCACUAAUUUAACACAAGAAAAAAUUAUUCACAUUCUUGGAUUCUGAAGAUUCAUCUGUUGACCAUUACUCUAAUGACUUGUGACUUGUGACUUGUGACUUGUGAGUAGAACUACCCUACUAUUGGAUUGAAAUCAAGAUUAGAAACAUAUUUGGUGUUGCUACUUAUGUUCUUUUGUUGUAUUAUACUCUUGAGAGAAACAACAUGCAUUUAUUAGGCAACAUGUUGUAGCUAUAUUAUAUCGUCUUCGUUUU